rnacentral:rRNA from 1 species
CCCGGGCCUUGUACACACCGCCCGUCACACCAUGGGAGUUGGUUUUACCCGAAGACGGUGAGCUAACCGCAAGGAGGCAGCCGGCCACGGUAAGGUCAGCGACUGGGGUG